GCUCCUUUGGCUCAGCUGGUAGAGCGUCAGUCUCAUAAUCUGAAGGUCGCCAGUUCGAGCCUGGCAGGGAGCA
rfam:Phytophthora infestans T30-4 supercont1.50 genomic scaffold, whole genome shotgun sequence.